CAGUCGCCGCGGUAAUACGUAGGGCGCAAGCGUUAUCCGGAAUUAUUGGGCGUAAAGAGCUCGUAGGCGGUUUGUCGCGUCUGCCGUGAAAGUCCGGGGCUCAACCCCGGAUCUGCGGUGGGUACGGGCAGACUAGAGUGAUGUAGGGGAGACUGGAAUUCCUGGUGUAGCGGUGAAAUGCGCAGAUAUCAGGAGGAACACCGAUGGCGAAGGCAGGUCUCUGGGCAUUAACUGACGCUGAGGAGCGAAAGCAUGGGGAGCGAACAGGAUUAGAGACCCGUGUAGUCCCUGUCUCUUAUAC
rnacentral:rRNA from 1 species